rnacentral:rRNA from 1 species
GGCCAGACUCCUACGGGAGGCAGCAGCGGGGAAUAUUGCACAAUGGGGGAAACCCUGAUGCAGCGACGCCGCGUGAGUGAAGAAGUAUUUCGGUAUGUAAAGCUCUAUCAGCAGGGAAGAAAAUGGCGGUACCUGACUAAGAAGCCCCGGCUAACUACGUGCCAGCAGCCGCGGUAAUACGUAGGGGGCAAGCGUUAUCCGGAUUUACUGGGUGUAAAGGGAGCGUAGACGGCAUGGCAAGUCAGAUGUGAAAGCCCGGGGCUCAACCCCGGGACUGCAUUUGAAACUGUCAGGCUGGAGUGCAGGAGAGGUAAGUGGAAUUCCUAGUGUAGCGGUGAAAUGCGUAGAUAUUAGGAGGAACACCAGUGGCGAAGGCGGCUUACUGGACUGUAACUGACGUUGAGGCUCGAAAGCGUGGGGAGCAAACAGGAUUAGAUACCCUCGUAU